AUGCUCAUUUUGGCAGCAUGCAUACUAAAUUGGAAUGACACAGAAAAUGAUUAGCAUGGUCCUUGAGCAAGAAAGACAUGUAAAUUCAUGAAGUGUUCUAUGCUUUU